rnacentral:rRNA from 1 species
GAUGAACGCUGGCGGCGUGCCUAAUACAUGCAAGUCGAGCGACCACACGAUGAGCUCUUUCCCUUGACGUUAGCGGCGGACGGGCGAGUAACACGUGCAUCACCUACUUCUUUUACUGGGGUAACUUCGUGAAACCAGUGCUACUACUGGCUCAUAUAUUGUACCGCAUGGUUCAAUAGUUAUAGACGCCUUUGCUGUUUCUUAUAGAUGGAUCCGCGUCGCAUUAGCUAGUUGGUAAGGUAACGGCUUACCAAGGCAACGAUGCGUAGCCGACCUGAGAGGGUGAUCAGCCACACUGGAACUGAGACACGGUCCAGACUCCUACGGGAGGCAGCAGUGGGGAAUCUUGCGCAAUGGGCGAAAGCCUGACGCAGCAACGCCGCGUGGGUGAAGAAGGUCUUCGGGUCGUAAAACUCUGUUAUUAGGGAAGAAAAACUGUGUGAGUAACUAUGGACGUCUUGACGGUACCCAAUGAAUAAGCACCGGCUAACUUCGUG